UAAGGAAUAUUGGUCAAUGGACGCAAGUCUGAACCAGCCAUGCCGCGUGCAGGAUGAAGGCCCUCUGGGUUGUAAACUGCUUUUAUCUGGGAAGAAAUGUAUUUAUUCUUAAGUAUUUGACGGUACCAGAGGAAUAAGCACCGGCUAACUCCGUGCCAGCAGCCGCGGUAAUACGGAGGGUGCAAGCGUUAUCCGGAUUCACUGGGUUUAAAGGGUGCGUAGGCGGAUUUGUAAGUCCGUGGUGAAAUCUCCGAGCUUAACUCGGAAACUGCCAUGGAUACUAUAGGUCUUGAAUGUUGUGGAGGUCAGCGGAAUAUGUCAUGUAGCGGUGAAAUGCUUAGAUAUGACAUAGAACACCUAUUGCGAAGGCAGCUGGCUACGCAAAUAUUGACGCUGAGGCACGAAAGCGUGGGGAUCAAACAGGAUUAGAUACCCUGGUAGUCCACGCCCUAAACGAUGAUUACUCGACGUAUGCGAUACACUGUACGCGUCUGAGCGAAAGCAUUAAGUAAUCCACCUGGGAAGUACGACCGCAAGGUUG
rnacentral:rRNA from 1 species